rnacentral:rRNA from 1 species
ACUCCUACGGGAGGCAGCAGUGGGGAAUAUUGCACAAUGGGGAAAGCCCAUCGAUGCAGCCAUGCCGCGUGUAUGAAGAAGGCCUUCGGGUUGUAAAGUACUUUCAGCAGUGAGGAAGGUGGGUAUGUUAAUAGCAUAUUCAUUUGACGUUAGCUGCAGAAGAAGCACCGGCUAACUCCGUGCCAGCAGCCGCGGUAAUACGGAGGGUGCGAGCGUUAAUCGGAAUUACUGGGCGUAAAGCGCAUGCAGGUGGUUUGUUAAGUCAGAUGUGAAAGCCC